ensembl:snRNA U2 U2 spliceosomal RNA
AUUGCUUCUCGGCCUUUUGGCUAAGAUCAAGUGUAGUAUCUGUUCUGAUCAGUUUAAUAUCUGGUUUAAUAUUCUUUGGCCAUACAAAAAUAAGUAGCACUUGUUCAAAUUUGAAGUUUAAUACUGAAUUUAUAAAUAAACUGCAAUUUUCGGGCUUUUCAGCAAGCUCACCUGUUUUGAGGCAGCACUA